rnacentral:misc_RNA from 1 species
UUAACUUUUGUUUGAUAACUCAGACGCUGAGAGAGUUGCAGGCUACCCCGAGGGGUACACUGUUGCAGGCACGGACGGGGCCUGCCGCACGAGGCGGCCAGCCACAUAUUCACUAAUGAUCCUUCCGCAGGUUCACCUACGGAAA